AGAUUGAACGCUGGCGGCAUGCCUUACACAUGCAAGUCGAACGGCAGCACGGGAGCAAUCCUGGUGGCGAGUGGCGAACGGGUGAGUAAUACAUCGGAACGUGCCCAGUUGUGGGGGGUAGCCCGGCGAAAGCCGGAUUAAUACCGCAUACGACCUACGGGUGAAAGCGGGGGAUCGCAAGACCUCGCGCUAUUGGAGCGGCCGAUGUCGGAUUAGCUUGUUGGUAGGGUAAAGCCUACCAAGGCUACGAUCCGUAGCUGGUCUGAGAGGACGACCAGCCACACUGGGACUGAGACACGGCCCAGACUCCUACGGGAGGCAGCAGUGGGGAAUUUGGACAAUGGGCGAAAGCCUGAUCCAGCCAUGCCGCGUGCGGAAGAAGGCCGUUCGGGUUGUAACCGCUUUUGUCCGAGGAAGAACGGUUCGAGACUAAUAUCUCGGACUAAUCGACGUACCUGAAGAAUAAG
rnacentral:rRNA from 1 species